rnacentral:rRNA from 1 species
UACAGAGGGUGCUAGCGUUAAUCGGAUUUACUGGGCGUAAAGCGUGUGUAGGCGGUUUGUUAAGUCGGGUGUGAAAUCCCUGGGCUCAACCUGGGAAUUGCAUUCGAUACUGGCAAGCUAGAGUACGGUAGAGGGCGGCGGAAUUCCGGGCGUAGCGGUGAAAUGCGUAGAUAUCCGGAGGAACACCGGUGGCGAAGGCGGCAUCCUGGACCGGUAUUGACGCUGAGGCGCGAAAGCGUGGGGAGCGAACAGG